UAGGGAAUCUUCGGCAAUGGACGAAAGUCUGACCGAGCAACGCCGCGCGAGUGAAGAAGGUUUUCGGAUCGUAAAACUCUGUUGUUAGAGAAGAACAAGGACGUUAGUAACUGAACGUCCCCUGACGGUAUCUAACCAGAAAGCCACGGCUAACUACGUGCCAGCAGCCGCGGUAAUACGUAGGUGGCAAGCGUUGUCCGGAUUUAUUGGGCGUAAAGCGAGCGCAGGCGGUUUCUUAAGUCUGAUGUGAAAGCCCCCGGCUCAACCGGGGAGGGUCAUUGGAAACUGGGAGACUUGAGUGCAGAAGAGGAGAGUGGAAUUCCAUGUGUAGCGGUGAAAUGCGUAGAUAUAUGGAGGAACACCAGUGGCGAAGGCGGCUCUCUGGUCUGUAACUGACGAUGAGGCUCGAAAGCGUGGGGAGCAAACAGG
rnacentral:rRNA from 1 species